rnacentral:rRNA from 1 species
CAGUAGCCGCGGUAAUACGAGGGGUGCAAGCGUUAUUCGGAUUGAUUGGGUGUAAAGGGUGUGCAGAUGGCUUAUUAAGUCACUUGUUAAAUUCUUCGGCCUAACUGAAGGUCUGCAAGUGAUACUGAUGAGCUAGAGGGUGGAAGAGAGAAGUGGAAUUCUCGGAGUAGCGGUAAAAUGCGUAGAUCUCGAGAGGAACACCAAUGGCGAAGGCAGCUUCUUGGUCCACUCCUGACGUUCAUACACGAAAGCGUGGGGAGCAAACAGGAUUAGAUACCCCCGUAGUCCCUGUCUCUUAUAC